rnacentral:lncRNA from 1 species
AUUGAAACUAGCUGUCACUCCAAAUCUAACAUAAUUAAAGUUAUGUUUGUCACAUGAUUAGGAUUUGCAAAAUAACUAGAAUGAUUGGAAAUAGCCCAACACCCCUACAACGUGCUCAAAUUGCUAUUGAAAACUAAGUAAAUCAUGAAGUAAAAUGGGAGCGAACCUUUACUGAACACGUCGAGGAUUUCUUUUCUAAGUGGAAGCAAGCAAAAUCAUUUGGAUUUAAUGAGGGGACAAUCCUCUCGAUAUGCCAUCUCAUAAGUACUAUGCCGCCCUAAUGGAGAGAUGUGGCUUACUUCAUGAGGGAUCUGAAUUAUGGGCUGUAUUCGCAAGAAAAAUGGGAUAUGAUCAAUUUUAAGGGAUAUUGUCAAGAUAUCAUAAUCCUAUGGAACAAGAGCUAGUGCAAAAGCUCGAGGCCGAGCUUAAACCGAAACCAAAGCUAGAGGAAGAACUUGAUGAAGACCCAGAGGAAGAGCCUGAAGAGGACCUAGAAAAGGAAUCGAAUUAGAGCCGGAAGAACCUGAGCAAGAUUUUGAGCCACAAAAUUUCAUUGAUUUAGUUACAGAUUUUGAGCCAGAGUCAUGCAUUACUUCAGACGAUAAGACUCCACCAAAAUUAGAUUCUUAAGACUAAAAAAAAUAAAUAAAAUUAGAAAGAGAUGUUAUUUGCUUACUUAGGAAAGGGUGUUUUUUUUUUUCUUUUUUUGGGUAUUAUUUUUUAAAACAAAAUACUAUAUGAAAGAUUUGGAAAUUUUUAAAUUUUUCGCCAUUAUAAAAAAAAUAUUAUUCUUAUUAUGGUUAUUUUUGUGUUAUUAAAUAUUUCUAAUUUAAAAUUUUAUUUGUGUUAAGAAAAUGACAAGACAACAACAAAACUAAGGUACAGUUAUUAGGGAUUUGUUGAGGGCUGUACAAGAUCUGGGUAGACAACAAGUACAACUUUGUUCCCAAAAUGCAAACAAUACCAGCUCAAUUGUGGAAUAGUUCCGUCGUUAUAAACCUCCAACCUUCGAUGGUAAGGUAGACCCAUUCGAAUCUUCAAAUAUCUAUCUUGCACUGAUACUCAGAAGGUAUUAUGUGCAAAAUUCAUGUUAGUUGAUGAUGCAGGCCACUGGUGGGAGUCAGUAUCGUGAACGAGAAAAGAGUUACAACAACGUGCUCUGAUUUGAACACAAUUUAAGGACGAGAUGAUGUGAAAAUACUUCCCACAAGCUCUGAGAGAUCGAAAAGAGACAUAAUUUCACUAUGGUGUGGCUGAAUGUAGAGCAAUCCGCCCUCACAGUCCUUCAACUUAAAUAGGGAAAGAUGCAGUUUGAAGAUUAUGAGAGAAAGUUUGAACAACUCUUUAGGUACGCAUCAUGCCUAGUGGACAGAGCAGCAAAGAAAGCAAGGAAGUUCGAGUUAGGAUUGCGCCUUGAGAUUGGUGGAAUAAUGGCAUCCCAUCAAUUUACCACAUAUAGCCGACUAUUGUAGACUGCCCAAGCAAUCUCAAAUAGAUUGGAAAUUGACCAAACUCCUCAACAAGGGGUUGAGCCUUCAGGAAAGAGGAAAUGGAAUGGGUCCAAUGAAAAGAAAAGAGAAGGACUAAACAAAAAGGUAAAUUUCGAAUCAAAUUUUGGACAAGUCGUUUCACCCUGCCCAAAGUGUAACAAAAUGUAUAGGGGUGAAUAUCUCUUUGAGAAGCAUUUGUGCUAUCGAUUGGCUAAUACAGGGUAUAUUUUCAAAAACUGCAAAGAGGACUUUUUGAAGAAGAAUGACGAGCCAGAAAAGAAGGAAAAGACCAGAGUUUUCACUUUAACCUAAGGACAGGCCACGAAAAAUCCGAAUGCAGGUAAUUUCGAUGACGAAAUUCUCUUAAAGGGUAAAUUGUAGCAACCCGAAAAAAAUAAUAAUAGAAUAAGAAAAAAAGAAUUUGUUUGUUAUAUUAUUUUAAAAGUUGGGGACUAAAAUAAAAUAGGAUUAUAAUUUCUAUUUUAGUUUGAUUUAAUAAUCAGAUAAUGAUAGACAAGAUUUGUAUAUUGAUAUUGGACUCAUUUUGAGGGUUAUAAUUAAUUGGAAGUUUUUGGCUCGAGAAAAAGUUAAUUUGGAUAAGUUAGCUCAAAGAUAUUAAAGUUUAAAGAAGUUGCCUUAUUCAAGAUUUGUUAAUUAGUUAGGUGGUUGGUACCACACGUGAGUGGCCACAACUACAAUUGCUUUUCCAUUAUAUUCUAUCUUAUCUUAUUAGAAUAAUUAGUUAAUUCAAACUCCAAUUGGUGGUACACGUUUUCCAUUAUAACUCAACCACUUUUUAUUACUAUAAAUAUUAUACAUGGGUUUCAUAUUUCACCAUACCAAAAAAUUUACACACACGUGAAAGAGAAGAGAGAGAGAGGAUAUUUUUGGGAGUUAGAAGACAAAAAGCUAAUUUGCAACCAUUAUGCACUAAAAAUAGAGAAAAGAUUUUGGGCACGUGCUUUCAUAUUUUCAUUUUAUUAAACGAGGUAAGUACAUUUGUAUAAGUGUUUUCAUUUCCUUAUACUCUUAUAUUCAAUUAAAUAUGUAUGGAUUGCCAGUAGACUUUCGGGUUCUUUAAAAAGAGAGAUGAAAUCCUUCAUGAUUAUAAGACGACCUAAGAUGGGUGUGUCGGUUGGUCACCAAUAUACUCCAUAAAAACCGAGUGGUAUGAAGUGUAGAUUUUGUUUGUUAUAUAAUUGUGUAUGAAAAUUGCACGUAUCUUAUUGGGUGUUUUCGAAUACUCACUCUUACAAAUUUUUACAGGUUAGUUCGGGUCAAUUGGAGUGGUUGCGGGAUGGUGAUGCGGACUCCCUAGUGAAUCGAAGAAAGGAAAA